AUUGAACGCUGGCGGCAUGCCUUACACUGCAAGUCGAACGGCAGCACGGGUGCUUGCACCUGGUGGCGAGUGGCGAACGGGUGAGUAAUACAUCGGAACAUGUCCUGUAGUGGGGGAUAGCCCGGCGAAAGCCGGAUUAAUACCGCAUACGAUCUACGGAUGAAAGCGGGGGACCUUCGGGCCUCGCGCUAUAGGGUUGGCCGAUGGCUGAUUAGCUAGUUGGUGGGGUAAAGGCCUACCAAGGCGACGAUCAGUAGCUGGUCUGAGAGGACGACCAGCCACACUGGGACUGAGACACGGCCCAGACUCCUACGGGAGGCAGCAGUGGGGAAUUUUGGACAAUGGGCGAAAGCCUGAUCCAGCAAUGCCGCGUGUGUGAAGAAGGCCUUCGGGUUGUAAAGCACUUUUGUCCGGAAAGAAAUCCUUGGCCCUAAUACGGUCGGGGGAUGACGGUACCGGAAGAAUAAGCACCGGCUAACUACGUG
rnacentral:rRNA from 1 species